AUCCGGAGAGGGAGCCUGAGAAACGGCUACCACAUCCAAGGAAGGCAGCAGGCGCGCAAAUUACCCAUUCUCAGCUCGAGGAGGUAGUGACGAAAAAUACCAAGGUGGUUGUCUUUGAUAAUCGCCAUUGGAAUGAGUACAAUAUAAACCCUUUAACGAGGAUCCACGCGAGGGCAAGUCUGGUGCCAGCAGCCGCGGUAAUUCCAGCUCGCGAAGUAUAUACCAAUGAUGCUGUGUUUGAAAAGCUCGUAGUUGGAUCUGCGACCGUGGAUAGCGGUGUACCUAUGGUACCACUGUU
rnacentral:rRNA from 1 species